CACGUAAGGCGCAAGCGUUGUCCGGAAUUAUUGGGCGUAAAGAGCUCGUAGGCGGUCUGUUGCGUCCGCUGUGAAAACCCGGGGCUUAACCCCUGGCUUGCAGUGGAUACGGACAGACUAGAGGUAGGUAGGGGAGAAUGGAAUUCCCGGUGUAGCGGUGAAAUGCGCAGAUAUCGGGAGGAACACCGGUGGCGAAGGCGGUUCUCUGGGCCUUACCUGACGCUGAGGAGCGAAAGCGUGGGGAGCGAACAGG
rnacentral:rRNA from 1 species